CCUACGGGGGGCUGCAGUGGGGAAUAUUGGACAAUGGGGGCAACCCUGAUCCAGCCAUGCCGCGUGUGUUAAGAAGGCCCUCGGGUUGUAAAGCACUUUCAGUGAGGAAGAACGCCUGGUGGUUAAUACCCAGCAGGAAAGACAUCACUCACAGAAGAAGCACCGGCUAACUCCGUGCCAGCAGCCGCGGUAAUACGGAGGGUGCGAGCGUUAAUCGGAAUUACUGGGCGUAAAGCGCGCGUAGGUGGCUUGAUAAGCCGGUUGUGAAAGCCCCGGGCUCAACCUGGGAACGGCAUCCGGAACUGUCAAGCUAGAGUGCAGGAGAGGAAGGUAGAAUUCCCGGUGUAGCGGUGAAAUGCGUAGAGAUCGGGAGGAAUACCAGUGGCGAAGGCGGCCUUCUGGACUGACACUGACACUGAGGUGCGAAAGCGUGGGUAGCAAACAGGAUUAGAUACCCCGGUAGUC
rnacentral:rRNA from 1 species